rnacentral:lncRNA from 1 species
UAUUCUUGUUCCCUGCAGAAAAUUAGGAUUUUCAGUUAGAUUUGUUGGUCAAAAUAUUAACUAAGUUGUUAGUGUGUUUCUCACAAAUACUAAAUUUCUAUUUGUGGAGUUUUAUAACAAAAUUCUUUAAGUCAUGGAAUACAAAAAAAACAGGGCUAAUAUAUUCGAUGGAGGGUUGGUGGAUUGCCAAAUAAAAUUAGCAAUGUUUAUGUUUACCAAAGAAUUACUUAAUUUUGUUUUCUCAAAUGUGAUAAUGUGAUUCUUCUGCAGUUUAUUUUUUUUUUUUUUUUAUUUGUAAAUUCAUUACUUAGUAAUAAUUGGUUACUUAGUUGUGAUUAUUUGAUUAUAACGUUUAAUUAAUUGGUGUUAGUUUUUUUUUAUGAACUGUGAUAUUACUUCUGCAGUUUGAUCUCAGUUCAAGUGAGAACAUUUAAAUUCCUUUUGAACCUUGAGAUGUGUUUUUCAAAUCUACUACUACUAGUACAUUUCAACAAAGAUGCAUUUGAUAUAGUUUUACCUGGAUUGGAUUCUAGCAGCAACUAAUUUUAUUCUGUUGCAUUAACAAAGUGGUUUUUUUCCAAACCUUACAAUAAAAAUCUAUUUGGUUAACACUUAUAAAUCAGUACUAUGAUAAAACCUUUCUUUUUAUUAUUGUGUUUCUUAAAACUGCCUUCGUUUUUUACCUUCAACUUGGCUGAUUUUUUACUAGCAUGAAAAGUGAUCUAAUGUUGACUUUUUUUGGUAUUUAUUGUGCUGUCUAUUUAUUUUAUAUGUAAUACUAAAUGUAAUCUUAUAACAACUAUUUCAAGGUGUUUUUUACUUAUGCACACACACAGUUUUCAACAUCGUGGACAUGAUUUUUUGGGUGGUGCUAUUUUAUAUGAAUGUUUUCUGCAUGAGAAGUGUUGAACAUUAGUGGUCUGUGAUGUAAAAAUAUAUUAUUACGAAGUUGGCUGAUAUCAUUAGAAGAGGUGAAAUUAAACUUUGUGAAGCUGAAUUUGUUAUUUUAUUAAUUAUGUAUUGGUACAUAGGAUUUUGCUGCAUAUUGGUUAAAAUAGCUUAGGACAAAUUUAGAGUAAUGCACUUGUGCCAUGCUUAUACAGUGCUACUCUGUUAACUCUAAGCAUAUAAAUUUCAGAUUGAAAAAGGCCAAAGGGCUAAAGUGAUAGUGUCCCAAUUCUUAUAUAUAACAAGCUGCUUUAUCAGUGUCUUUUUUCUUCUUUUCAAUUGGCGAAUAGAAGAUACUGUUAGUACAAUAUACAUCUGUGUCACGACACAUGUUUGAAAUGCUCAUCUACAUGAUGCAUGGGCUUCACACACAGCUUGUGCCUUUCUUUCCUCUCAUCAUUUACCAUUUUUAAAUUCCUGUACUAUUGUUAUCAAGUUAGUCAUAAAAUGGGGCUUUUCUUAAAUAAGUAGUUAAUUAAGAACCCAUCUUUAAAUACUCUUUGUUAGCUAGUAAAGAAGAUUUUAUUAUUUUUUGUUAAUUAAACAAAUAUUAUAACUUUAUG